rnacentral:rRNA from 1 species
AGGGUGAGCAAAUCUCAAAAAUAACGUCUCAGUUCGGAUUGUAGCCUGCAACUCGACUACAUGGAGCUGGAAUCGCUAGUAAUCGCGAAUCAGAAUGUCGCGGUGAAUACGUUCCCGGGUCUUGUACACACCGCCCGUCACACCAUGGGAGUCGGAUAUGCCCGAAGUCAGUGACCCAACCAUAUGGAGGGAGCUGCCGAAGGUGGAGCCGAUAACUGGGGUGAAGUCGUAACAAGGUAUC